UCCGGUUUGACACCGGCAGUCUCGCUAGAGUACCCGACAUGACUCGCUGGCAACUAACGACAGGGGUUUCGCUCGUUGAGGGACUUAACCCGACACUUCACAGCACGAGCUGACGACAGCCAUGCAGCACCUGUGCACGUUCCACCCAGAGGGUGUGGCUCCCCUUUCAGGGAGUUAAUCCGUGCAUGUCAAGCCCAGGAUAAGGUUCUUCGCGUUGCUUCGAAUUAAGCCACAUGCUCCACCGCUUGUGUGAGCUCCCGUCAAUUCCUUUGAGUUUUAGCCUUGCGACCGUACUCCCCAGGCGGCGCACUUACCACUUUUGCUUCGGCCAAGGGGGCGUCAAGCCUCCUCGAUCUAGUGCGCAUCGUUUACGGCGUGGACUA
rnacentral:misc_RNA from 1 species